AGACCCGUUAGUUGCAAGCACACAGCCGAAACAUCCCCCUUGCCCCUUGUCUUUCCUCCACUUUAACCUAUCCCCAUUUUGUAAGUGUCCAUCCAUAAUAUUAAAGCCAAGGCCCCGUUCUGAGGGCCAACGGAAUAUGAUAGUGUAAAUAUAGGGACUGGCUUAACUGAUGUUCUCUAGGACUAGGAAUGAGAGAAACAAUCCUCCGUAGUUACCAUCCUGUAUCUUACCUUAAGCCUAUGUCUCACACUGUUAAACAAAAAAAAAUCAUGAGAAGCGGUGAAGUGAGCAGAUGUGGGCUGUGCCUUUUUAUAAUGAACAUGGUAAAUUAGUUAAGGAAGUGGGCAAUAUAUAAAGCAGCUGAGUGAGCCUCCCUUCUGCUUACCACCAGAGGUCAGCCUAAAGGAUUAUGGAAGUGUACAGCUGUGAGAUCCCCUCUGCCUGUGAACCUGAACAGAACACCACACCAUAUAUCUUUGUCUUGUUGAUGUCAUGUGACUGUUUGUCUGGAAUGGAUGUGUUGAUGCUGCUGUCUUGGUCCAGUUCUCUCUUGAAAAAUGUAUAUAUUUUUUUUAUCUCCACGAGACUAACUUGGUUAAAUAAGGGUGAAAUAAAUAAAUCAGCAGUUCUCGUUGUGGCUGGCCAUCGUCUCGGAGACCAGUGGAGAGAUAUGUGACAGAUGGUGGCUGGUAGUGGGGCAGAGGGGACAGCGGAGGGGCCCAGGGCAGGCUUGGCAGUGCCCCCAGUACCUGGUGUUCUUUCCUGUGACUGCUACACCGCUGCACUACCAUUACCGCUCUGUCCUGUCCUCAUCAGCCUGUCAGUGAUAGAAAUCUCCCCAAGCACUUUAUAAAGCGCAAUAAAGUGGGGAGUUUUCUUCCAUUUGAACUGCAUUGUUCUGCAGUGGCUGUAGACCUGUGCCAGUUUAACUAUGCAGUGAAGGCAUCCUAUUGGGCACACACUGGUUGAAUCAAUGUUGUUUCCACGUCAUUUCAAUGAAACGACGUUGAACCAACAUGGAAUAGAUGUCGAAUUGCCGUCAGUGGGAUGGCAGUGGCUAAUGUUUGAGUGAGACAAAUGUAUAGAAACACAGUAUCACCCACAAGCCAAAUGAGUGAAUGAAGUUGUCAGCACAAAUCAGAUGUUAUACCACCCCUGCUGACAUUAUCUGAAGUUACGGAACCACCAAUUACAUUGCACUAAAUCAUUGAGCCGCCCACCAUUACCAGACCACUGCUACAACAGCCUCAAGCUGUUGAGCUAGCAGUCAAUGAGUUCGCUCUUCAUAAGAAACCCCAUUGCUGUUAACGCUCAUUUUUUAGUUGCUGUGCCAGGCAGUCAGAAUCUCAUAUUCGCCUCAGAAUGUCUCUCAGUAGACUAGUGUGUGUAGGUGGCAGCAGCCCCAGUAGUUCUGUGCUGUGCUGUCUCCCAUGCACCCAGUGGAGUCGGGCCACAGACUUGUCAAACAGCAGGGCUUUAAUGAGAUGUAAUGCCUCUCUCUCUCUCUCUUUCCUAAAGCGAACACUGACCUCCCGUUGCGCUGUGGUGAUCAGAACAGAGCUGAUCCCUGCUGCACUCAGCUGCUCUGAACAAAGAUAGUGCUUCAAGUGCAUUUUUAGAGUGUGACUUCCUCAUUUAAUCAGCACUCGUUGACAGAGAGAAAGGGGAAGGAGAGAGGAGUGGACGAGAGGAGUGGCUGCAUGGGAAUUGAUAUUUAACAGCCAACUUCCAUGUCAUCUCUUUGAAAUACAAAACUUUUUUUGAAGAUUAAUGGAGAAUUCCAUUAUUUUUAUUGAAACCAACGAAGUGGAAUAAAAAGUUUGAAAAUGGAGAGAUUUAGGAUCAAAGGCCUGGCUGAGCCAUCACUUCACACAGCUAAUUGCCCUGAUCUCACUGUACAGUAGAGUUAAUGAAAACAAAGAGACCGAUUCAUCAUGGCAUCUCUGAGCGUUCCUUUUCAGGGUCCUUAGAGAGCUUAGCCAGAAACAUGCGGAGACAUUAAUCUGUUGUCUGUUAAAAUAAACAACAACAAUCACACUGAAUGGGGUCUUCAUAAGUAACUACUGGCAAUAACUCAAGAUGACGCUAACAAGUUAGAAUUAUACAUCCCCACUAUAUGUAGUUACUUUAAUACUGUAACUAUUCUGAAGCCAAAUUCAUAUGGAUUUAGGUGAGGAAUCCCAGUUAGCUAUAAUAGGAAUUUCUUCUACCCUUGUAUCGGCUGUGUGCUUUGACAUGGGACUGGUUAAGGCUCAGGUGCCCACUGUCUACGGCUCAAAUUAUGUGCCUGAACUGACUAACACAACUCCUACCCGUCAACUGCUUUAUUGACCAUGGACGCCCCUUGACCACCAUGGAUGAUGGUCCUCCUACACACCACAAAAGGUCAUCACAGCCUCAAGCCCAGAGCACCAGACCGUGCUUUCUGCAUUGGCACUGGCCUCUGACCCGAGGCAGGGCACCUCAUGCCCACAUGCCUCUUCCUUCCCAGGCAACAAGAACUAGUCCGGUCGUUGCUGGGUGAAAUGGACAAGUCACUCCUACGAGAGGAGAACUGUAAGAGCAAGGAGCAGCUGGACUCCCAGGAAUUUUCCAUCCUUCCUCGGCCUCCAGGAAUAUAUAUGCUAAUUAAAGCUGACUUCCUAUAUCCUGAGUACAGCAGAGACAGUAUGGUUGACUAGGGACUGUGACUUUAUAAAAGCCCCCAGAGGAAACCCAUAAAGACUACAUGGAGGCUGGGAGGAAUAUUGUGUAUAGGUGGGACUUGAGAGGUGACAGUAACAGACAUCAUAUUUAUGACUUCAACAAAUGAUACCAUAUCUUAUUCAAGGUUACUUGUAGUUAACUUGAUUUGGAAUGUGCUGUGACUCAUGACACUCAAAGGACCUCAAAUUCACAUACUCAUUGCAAUGAAUGGAUGGAUAUUUGAUAUUUAUCGACUUCCUUGACUCUGAAGACUUGGAUUCUACAUUUCUGUGCAUCCAGUUGCAGUGUUGUACGUUCUGAUACCUCCCUGUAGGUGUCAGGGUUACUGCUAUGAAAUACUGAUUAACAGAAAGGCUGUUGGCUAAAUACAGGAGCUGUAUUAGUUCAAUUAAUUCACAAUGUUAAUUCACAAAAGCUUUCUAUAACAAUUACUUCAUACAAAAUACCGCACAGAGUCAUGUCACUGCAAUUGUUUUAAAUUACAUUUCUAGAGGGGGAGGGGAACCCUUACUGUCUUGACUUUCCAUAAAUGUAUGACAUACUUUGAAAAGAUAUCUUUAAAAAAACAGGAAAUCUAACAUUUGGGGGUUUUCUUUUAAUUUCAGUAUGUGUAUAAGCAUGGUUGCAGUGUACAGUAUAAACACUAGGGGGGUUAUUGACACCAUUUAUAUUUUUAACAUGAUAUUUGAGGCUCAUUAUUAUUUUGUUCCCAUGCUAGAUUAACCAAAACAUGCGCACACACGCAUUGUGAAACGUGGCUUGCAUUACAGGAGCCAGGAUUCAAUACGUGUACUGUAUACGGAUAAUGGAUGUGUACACGUCAGUAAAUUAGACCAGCUCUGUUGUUCAUUUGCUCCUCACUACCAGUAGCCCCAACAUCCAAGCCGCGUGUGCAUGCUCAUUGCAAAGACGUCUUAAUAUGGAAAACACUUAGACGCAGCUGGUGCCGAGACCACAUGACAGUUCGAACCAGGAUCAUUUUCUUGUCUUUUCGAAUUUCUAUUGUGAUAUUUUGAUUUAGUAUGAGCUUACUGAGCUUGCUUGCAUGUAUUGGGUUUACUUCCGUCCCGACAUAUUGUGAGUCGACAACUCUGCAAGCUGCGUUCCAGUAAGGAAUAAAUCAUGUAAUAAUCAUGACAUUAUGGAAUAUUGAUUGGAGGAUUCAUUACUUGGUACAUGGAGAAAUAUGUAGAACUAAUUUGGAAUAUUUUUUUGUCAACUUUUUAGUGAUCAUGUACAUAUUUCCAAUGUUUUAGCAAUUGUCAGUGCAGAAACAUCGCUGCCAAAGUCUUGAUGUAUUUUUUUUACACACUCUUGCAAGUGAACAGAAAAGCUUAGAAGUAAACAUGUUUUUACCUACAUAAUAAAAUCUAUGUCGUCUGUUAACCUCAUGUUUUUACCAUCCUGUUUAAUUCAAUUAAAGUGAUAAGAAUGUGAAAAUGA